UACGUAGGGUGCAAGCGUUGUCCGGAAUUAUUGGGCGUAAAGAGCUCGUAGGCGGUUUGUCGCGUCGGCUGUGAAAACUCGGGGCUCAACUCCGAGCCUGCAGUCGAUACGGGCAGACUAGAGUGCUGUAGGGGAGACUGGAAUUCCUGGUGUAGCGGUGAAAUGCGCAGAUAUCAGGAGGAACACCGGUGGCGAAGGCGGGUCUCUGGGCAGUAACUGACGCUGAGGAGCGAAAGCGUGGGGAGCGAACAGG
rnacentral:rRNA from 1 species